AGUGAACGCUGGCGGUAGGCCUAACACAUGCAAGUCGAACGGCAGCACAGGAGAGCUUGCUCUCUGGGUGGCGAGUGGCGGACGGGUGAGGAAUACAUCGGAAUCUACUUUUUCGUGGGGGAUAACGUAGGGAAACUUACGCUAAUACCGCAUACGACCUACGGGUGAAAGCAGGGGACCUUCGGGCCUUGCGCGAUUGAAUGAGUCGAUGUCGGAUUAGCUAGUUGGCGGGGUAAAGGCCCACCAAGGCGACGAUCCGUAGCUGGUCUGAGAGGAUGAUCAGCCACACUGGAACUGAGACACGGUCCAGACUCCUACGGGAGGCAGCAGUGGGGAAUAUUGGACAAUGGGCGCAAGCCUGAUCCAGCCAUACCGCGUGGGUGAAGAAGGCCUUCGGGUUGUAAAGCCCUUUUGUUGGGAAAGAAAUCCAGCCGGCUAAUACCUGGUUGGGAUGACGGUACCCAAAGAAUAAGCACCGGCUAACUUCGUGCCAGCAGCCGCCGUAACAC
rnacentral:rRNA from 1 species